rnacentral:lncRNA from 1 species
AGAGUGCAGAGGCUUGCUUUCUGCAGGAACAAACCUUAGUUGACCUAGAUCCCACUGUACAUGCCUAAGAGCUGGCUGGCUUCUUCCACUUGUGAAUUACUUGUGUUUCUAAGGAGCCUUUUUUACUCUUUGUCACAGGUUUUAGGAAAUCUCAUCUUCUGUGUUGUCACCAGGAUCUCUCUGGACUCCUCUUAGCUCCUGAAUUCUUGUCAUCUGCAUGGAGAAUUCAGAUGAGACACACAGAACACAGCAUAAGAGACAGACUGUGUAGAGAACAGUGAAAUGCACUCAUGGACAGUGGCUAAAGAGACAGCUGUCUCCUCCAUUUAAGAUACCCAGAAAGACACUGCCUCUCGGCCGAUCAGUCUACAAGGAUUUGGACAACGAUAGGAGCUUCAAGUUGGUCCAUCACAAUCUUGCUUUCUCCCAUUUAAAUAUUUUGUCAUAGAAUUGACAAAAUGAGUGUGAACUGGUACCUUGAGACUUUCUCUUGAACCUUCAGAAAAGUCUUACAGUGGGGGAAUUUUUUUUAAACUUCAUUUAUAUACAGAACUAUGUCUAGCCAUCACUGGUCUUCAGCUGAGUAAUGCUUGUUACAAGCAGCAAGUCUGUUCUCUCUAUGUUCCAGGUCAUCUGCACCAGCAUUAUAAUUUUAGCAAGUUCUCAGCCUUGAUAACUUCCCUGCCCUUUUCUCAGAACACACACACAGACAUCCCAACUGUACAGGCUGUUCUAUGGCUACUAUUGUUCCAUAAGAAGAUACAAAGUGAUGAGGGAGCUCAACGCUUAUUUCAGUAUUCCCCAAAUGUCCUUUGCCUGGCUUCUCUGGAAGGAAGAGAUGGACCUUCCCCCACCCUUUGUGGUGGGGGUUUUCUGCAAAUAGCCUGUUUAUAAUGUUCACCUAAUUAUUGACCCUCCAUCUCACUUUCCAAUAUCAUUGCUAGGAAGGCAAAAAAUAAAUGCUCUCUUUUUUUCUAAGGACAUCUCCCAAUUUCAGGGCAUAUUGAACUCUUCAAAGGAAAAAGUCAAUAAUAAAAAUGUUGAGACCUAGA